AAGGAGGACUAUGUGUUAAUAAUGCUUUUACCAAUUUGAGGUCAAUGGUAGUCUAGUUCAAUCAUGUAUUCGGGAUGUCGUUAGUUUCUUUUUUCCGGAUUGUUGUUUCGAAGUGUUUUUAUUGAUUUCCGUUUCUCUUAUGAAUCACUAUGAGUCUUACUUAUGCAUUUUAUUUCUUUGCAUGUGAAAUCUAUCCUAAUUCACCAUGGACUCCAUUUUACUUCACCGCAUUUCGAGAGAGCCAUAAAGGCUCAAAUUCCUUCUUUCUGAGUCAGCCAGCUAUUAAAUCGACGUACAUGUCCC
rnacentral:lncRNA from 1 species